CUUUUUCUUCUUCCUUCACGUUCAAUUUCCUGAACCGGCAGCAUCUACUUCCUCUCAUAACUAUCUUCAAUAUCAUUUUCUUUCUCCUAGGCUGCAAUAUCAUCACCAACGUUGCAGCACCAUCAUCAAUUUCUUCUUCUUUCAUUUCCUUUGCUGAAGCACCCAAACCAUUCCUUUUCUUCUUCGUCUCGUUCAUUUUCCCUCUUGGCAGCACCUUCUUCUCCAUGAGACAAGCCUCACCACCAUGUAAGCUUCUCCUUCUUGCAACCAACACCACCACCGUGAAAGCCACCAACACCAUGCCUUACUUCAUCUUCUUCACCUUCCUUAUUUCUUCUCAACAAACCACCACAACCUCCAAGUUUCUAUUGCCUUGGAUCUGAUUGUGAGCUCCAUGAGCAGAGUGGACACUUUGUGAGUACUUGGUCACCGGCGAGCCACUAACAGCCGCUGUCAAACAGCCACCACGAGACCACCACUCCUCCUCCUCAUGACCGCAACAACCAUGAGGAAUCCAGCCUCCACCGUCCCUCCUUCUCCUUCACGCACAAGCCAUAAAGAAGCCACCACAAAGCUUCUUCUUCUUUUCUCCAAGGAACCACCACCAUGGAUCAUUUUUCUCCACCCAAAACAGAGCACCAGCCAUCACCACAAGCUUCUUUCUCCAUGGCCAAAAGCACCACACCCAUCUCCAUGGAAGCAACGAAGACAACGUGAAACAGAACCAAGGACGCCGCCGACAUCGUCAACUUCGGCCUUCGAUUCCAGUGUCUUCGGGCCUCCGUUCACAGCGAGGUUAGUACCAUUGGAACCCUUGCGACGUCCACAACAAAACCCAUAUUCCGGAUCGUCGUUCCGUCGCCGUCGACCGCCGCCGCCGCUGCCUUUGGAGCCGAUUUCCGGUCAACUCCGACUACCAAUGGAAAAAAGGAGUGCACCAAGACGAUCCUUGCCGCAAGGAGAACAAUAGCCCUCAAUCAAUUUCAGUUUUGGACAACUUUUGUCGGCGAGCUCUGCCGACCUACAAUUUGACUGUCUGAGUAAACUGUCGACUUUUUCGUGAAACGGACAGCGCCAAUGAGUUCCUGGCCGCGAAAGGAUAAAGAACCAAUACCCCUUUUGUGUCUUUGGCGACAUUUCCUCCGUCAACCCCCGCACACUACGACUUUCUCCGGCGACUCUUCGCCGACAAGUUUUUGAAACUUGGAUUUUGGUACGAAUAACGGGAGCGCUUGGCGACGAAGUCAAAUAAUAAAAGGAAGCAAGACGACACGGGAAAGCAAAGAUGUGAUCGAAAUGAAGUCACCGUUUAGGAAGAAAAUUGGCUAAGGUGAUGGAGAAUCUUCGAUGGAGCUUGACCUUCGUACGAGUCGGAGAGGAGAACUUGAAGAAUUGUGGAAGACUUGAAGAAUAUAGUCGGGUGUAGAGUUAGAGCCUUGAGUUAGAGAGCUAACCAUUAUUGGUUUAAGCUUGCAUAAUGAUUUUAGAAAUUUAUAUUUGGGGUUUCGGGUACUCGCCUUGUUCAAGGCUUGAUGUAAAUCCCUUUGUAGUUGGGAGUAUGCAUGACAUGUUUUGGAAAUACAUUUGAAAAGAAAAAAAAAUAUACUUGUGUUUAUAAA